CUUUCUCCGCCGGCGACCGGCGCACGGGUGAGUAACACGUAUGCAACCUGCCCCUGUCAGGGGGACAACCCGCCGAAAGGCGGGCUAAACCCGCGUACAUGCCACCGGGGCAUCCCGGAGGCAGGAAAGGCUUCGGCCGGACAGGGAUGGGCAUGCGUUGUAUUAGCUAGUUGGUGAGGUAACGGCUCACCAAGGCGACGAUACAUAGGGGGACUGAGAGGUCAACCCCCCACAUUGGUACUGAGACACGGACCAAACUCCUACGGAAGGCAGCAG
rnacentral:rRNA from 1 species